CCGUGGCUCAGCCGGUAGAGCAGCUGAUUCGUAAUCAGCAGGUCGUCGGUUCGAAUCCGACCGG
rnacentral:tRNA from 2 species